GAUGAACGCUGGCGGCGUGCCUAAUACAUGCAAGUCGAGCGAACAGACGAGGAGCUUGCUCCUCUGACGUUAGCGGCGGACGGGUGAGUAACACGUGGAUAACCUACCUAUAAGACUGGGAUAACUUCGGGAAACCGGAGCUAAUACCGGAUAAUAUAUUGAACCGCAUGGUUCAAUAGUGAAAGACGGUUUUGCUGUCACUUAUAGAUGGAUCCGCGCCGCAUUAGCUAGUUGGUAAGGUAACGGCUUACCAAGGCAACGAUGCGUAGCCGACCUGAGAGGGUGAUCGGCCACACUGGAGCUGAGACGCGGUCCAGACUCCUACGGGAGGCAGCAGAAGGGAAUCUUCCGCAACGGGCGAAAGCCUGACGGAGCAACGCCGCGUGAGUGAUGGAGGUCUUCGGAUCGUAAAACUCUGUUAUUAGGGAAGAACAAAUGUGUAAGUAACUAUGCACGUCUUGACGGUACCUAAUCAGAAAGCCACGGCUAACUACGUG
rnacentral:rRNA from 1 species